GAACCGUGCGAACGUUGUUCGGAUUCACUGGGCUUAAAGGGCGCGUAGGCGGCCCGCCAAGUCUGGGGUGAAAGCCCCCGGCUCAACCGGGGAAGUGCCUGGGAUACUGGCGGGCUCGAGGGGGGUAGGGGCGGACGGAACUUCCGGUGGAGCGGUGAAAUGCGUUGAUAUCGGAAGGAACGCCGGUGGCGAAAGCGGUCCGCUGGGCCCCCACUGACGCUGAGGCGCGAAAGCCAGGGGAGCAAACGGGAUUAGAUACCCCGGUAGUCCUGGCCCUAAACGAUGGGUACUAGGCUGUGGGCUUGACAUGGGCUCGCAGCCGAAGCCAAAGUGUUAAGUACCCCGCCUGGGGAGUAUGGUCGCAAGGCUGAA
rnacentral:rRNA from 1 species